AGUGAACGCUGGCGGUAGGCCUAACACAUGCAAGUCGAACGGCAGCACAGUAGGAGCUUGCUCUUACGGGUGGCGAGUGGCGGACGGGUGAGGAAUACAUCGGAAUCUACUUUUUCGUGGGGGAUAACGUAGGGAAACUUACGCUAAUACCGCAUACGACCUACGGGUGAAAGCAGGGGAUCUUCGGACCUUGCGCGAUUGAAUGAGCCGAUGUCGGAUUAGCUAGUUGGCGGGGUAAAGGCCCACCAAGGCGACGAUCCGUAGCUGGUCUGAGAGGAUGAUCAGCCACACUGGAACUGAGACACGGUCCAGACUCCUACGGGAGGCAGCAGUGGGGAAUAUUGGACAAUGGGCGCAAGCCUGAUCCAGCCAUACCGCGUGGGUGAGGAAGGCCUUCGGGUUGUAAAGCCCUUUUGUUGGGAAAGAAAAGCAGCAGGUUAAUACCCCGCUGUUCUGACGGUACCCAAAGAAUAAGCACCGGCUAACUUCGUG
rnacentral:rRNA from 1 species